CCCAAUGUGAAGAACUGAAACCCUAACUACCCGCAGCACAUCCUCUAUAAGAACAGCCAUAGUCUCUGAAUUCAUCAUCACAGCAGUAAGUGUAAGCGGCCGCCUCCGUCGUCUUCGUUGUUCGGGGAAGCUUGAAUCCAUUGACAACGUUUUGUGUAGCUUUCGACAUAUUUGGGCAAUGACGAUUGCUUUGUGAUAGGUCUCGUUCGUCGUAAUGGCAUUGUUUUAUGCCUUGACGACCAUCCUGAUAUAUCACCACCCAUAAACUGAGUCCUCUCUCGCUGUGUUCAGCGUUACUCAUCACUUUCAGUAUAUUGCUUCGAUCAAGAAUUAGCAAAACAGCAAAACUAUGGUUAUUCCUUCUGACGAAUCCUCGGAAGCUUCCAGACAAUUGGAAUUGAGGGCUUUUUUUCUUUUGGCGAAGCGGUUGGUUGUAGAUGUAUCCGACUUUUAGUUGAAAAUAUGUUGUGGACAACCAAAUAUUCUUAUCCACUAGCAUAUUGACAAUGGGGUUUGUUUUUCAUGUUCAGAUCUUACUUGGCAGUAUAUUUUGGGUAAUGUAUUUUUAUAUUAAUAAUCAAUUUAUUUAUAAGAAACAUUUUUACAGUAA